GUCCGGGUGAUGGAAUUGGUAGACAUAACAAGCUUAAAUUUUGUAGGCUAAUAGCCAUGAAGGUUCGAGUCCUUUUUCGGAUA
rnacentral:tRNA from 5 species